rnacentral:rRNA from 1 species
UACGUAGGGUGCGAGCGUUAAUCGGAAUUACUGGGCGUAAAGCGUGCGUAGGCGGUCCGUCGUGUCCGAUGUGAAAGCCCCGGGCUUAACCUGGGAAUGGCAUGGGAAACUGACGGGCUCGAGUGAGGCAGAGGGGGGUGGAAUUCCGCGUGUAGCAGUGAAAUGCGUAGAGAUGCGGAGGAACACCGAUGGCGAAGGCAGCCCCCUGGGCCCACACUGACGCUGAGUGCACGAAAGCGUGGGGAGCAAACAGG